rnacentral:lncRNA from 1 species
AACACCUUAGCACUAGUCCACACACAUUGCAAUUUAUCAAAGUAAUGAAUACAAAUCAACUAAAACAUGAUAGACAUGACUAGAGAAUAUUCCCAUGUGUCCUCGAGAAUGCUUGCUCACUAUAAGAAACACUUUUGGCUUGUCCUUUGUAUAAAUAAGGAUUGGGCUACCUUGCUUCACUUUCCUACUACUGAUACUUGUCACUUGGUAUGAAUUUUCUUGCUACCAAAUUACACAUUACUACUAUUUUUAGUACUCGCCAAGAAUACCUUACUAAAAUCCGCUUACGAUUUUUUCAGCUCCUCGUUGGUUUGACACUCUUACUUAUUGAAAGGUUUACGAUUGAUCCCCUAUACUUGUAGGUCAUCAAGACUCUUUCUGGCACCGUUGUCGGGGAGUGAUGCGCCUUUGGUAAGGAAACAUUUACAUUGAGUGCUAAAAUUUGCCUCAACCUGUUACUAUGGAAAGUAAUCCUUCGAGAGACUUGUUUGGGGGUAUAUUCACCUCGACCGGAAGAUGCAAGAGCCAUUACUCAACCUACUGAAAAUAUUUUUUAUGAGAUCCCUUCGGGCAUUUUAG